GCCCUGACCUUGAACGUGACAUUGAAAUGGACCUUGACCUCUGACCUCGACCCUCAUCCUAAAACUGGUGAUCAUUCUGACAUUGACUUUAGCUUGAUGUGACCUUGAAUGUAACCUUUUAAAUGAUCCAGAUCCCAAAGAUUGUCCUUGCCAUACCUCACCCUAAUUUUUUAAUUUAUUUUUUUUUUGGUGGCUGGCCAGUAAAGGGAUCAAACCCUAGACUGAUAUUAUCAGCAACAUGCUCUAACCAAAUGAGUUAACUAGCCAUCCUUGUUCAGCCUAAUUUUAACCGUGGCCUUGAACUGGUCUUGACCCUGAUCUUUACCCUCACCUUAUCACUGACAAUCAUCCUAAACAUGAUUCCUCUUAAAACAACCUUGGAUUUGACCCUCCUCUUGACCCUAAUCAUCACCCUGACCUUGAAGUUAACAUUGAAUCCUACCAUGACAAUGAGCCUUACUCUCCCACCUGGGACUAAACAGUCUAAAAUCACAUCAGCCUGAUGUCUUUGGUUGAGUUUGAUUUAAUAUUAUAUCCCUAAAUUACACACUAUUUUCAUCUAGAUUUGAUUUAACCACAGUAAGAAGUAAUAGCUGAGGCUCAACUCUGCACUAAUACAGUAUCUUUCUCCAUAUUCCCACUUAGACUCACCAUAAGCAUGUGCUUUUGAGAGAAAUGUCAAUUUGCUCCAAUAAGCACUACAAAUUUACUUUUGAUAAGAAAAUCUGGGAUUGAGUUUGUUUGCAUUAAUAAAGAUUUUUUGAGUUCA